UACGAAGGGUGCAAACGUUGCUCGGAAUUAUUGGGCGUAAAGCGCACGUAGGCGGCUUUGCAAGUCGGAUGUGAAAUCCCUCGGCUUAACCAAGGAAGUGCAUCCGAAACUGCAGAGCUUGAGUACUUAAGAGGAUCGCGGAAUUCCCGGUGUAGAGGUGAAAUUCGUAGAUAUCGAGAGGAACACCUGCGGCGAAGGCGGGUUGCUGGGCUGACACUGACGCUGAAGCGCGAAAGCUAGGGGAGCGAACGGG
rnacentral:rRNA from 1 species